GUUAUUUCACAGCUGUCAUGGUUUUGGAGCCAUCUUCCCUGUCACCAGUUACUGCAGCUCGCCCUUGCUGGUGGAUAUCUUUAUGCCAGACCCUCAUAACAUUUAAUCACCACAAGGUCGAGGUCACAUGAUGAGAGUUUCACACUGAAGAUUACAGCCAUGGCUUUCACCAAGCUGAAAAACAAGCUUUAACGUGAUGAUCCACACAAGACCAAACCUGAUGAGAAAUGUAGGGUGUUGCUAUGGCAAUUCCAUUCGUUGGAACUUUUCUCUGUUGGCUUCACUCUGACAUUACAUUCUAAAAAGAAUCGUAUGAAAAGGUGUGGUGGCUGUGAAGACAAACGCAAAGCCAAGAAGAUGGAACUUUCUUAUCUGUCUCCAAAGAGAGAAUGUCGUCAUAUCGUAAUGCCACCCUAAUGUAGUCGGAGGGCUGGCUUAGGAGGUGUCAUUCUGAGAUUUCAUUGAAACCCUGGGGUGUAUUUCUUUUUCACUUAAGUGGAAAAUUGGCGAUGCCAGAGUUAUUAGCAAAAUGACAAGGUGAAAGAAGGAUGCUUGGAUGAAACUGAAAGAUGACAAGGCCUUGGCUCCUAAAAGAAUGAAGACCUGUUUUGUUGUUGGAGGUGAUGGAUUCAUUUUUUUAAAGCAGAGGUUUGAUAUAUUAAAAUAUCACUUAAAUCUAAGCAUCGACAGUGAAUAUCUCUCAUAGAGAGGGAAAUUUAUUCAUUUACCUAAUGUCAUUUCUUUCCAGGUAGACCUUCCUUUUCAAGGGUUAUAAUAAAUGCAGCUGUUUAUAACAACAA